UACGUAGGGGGCAAGCGUUGUCCGGAUUCAUUGGGCGUAAAGGGCGCGUAGGCGGCCUUGUAAGUCAAAGGUGAAAUCCCUCGGCUCAACUGAGGAACUGCCUUUGAAACUGCAAGGCUUGAGGCCGGGAGGGGGUAGCGGAAUUCCCAAUGUAGCGGUGAAAUGCGUAGAUAUUGGGAGGAACACCAGUGGCGAAGGCGGCUACCUGGACCGGUUCUGACGCUGAGGCGCGAAAGCGUGGGUAGCAAACAGG
rnacentral:rRNA from 1 species